GGACUAUAUGAUCUAUAAGGUCCCUUCCAACUCUGAGUAUCUGUUAACUGUUUGAAAUGUACAUUGUGUUCUAACCUUUGAAGGUGCUUUGAAUCUUUGUUGAAAAUGUGAACAACAUGAAGGGAAAUUUUAUUAUGUUUGAUGGAUAUGUAAAAAAGCCAAACUUUUUUGAUACAAAUAUUUCCAAAAAUUCAGAAGGUUUAAAAAUUAAAGUUCCACUGAAAACAGAGACUUUGCUUUUGAGACUAAUGGACAGGCAACUACAAAAAGUCAUGAAACUUUGUUUCUAUAUAUGUCAGCUACAAGAUGAUUAUAUGUUCAAAAGUGGAAAGGUCUAUCUGCAAUGGAGGAACGGUUGGUUAAGUUGAUGGAAAGAUGGUUAAAUUAACUUCUUUUGAUAGAAAAACAGCAUUCUCUACAUCUAGGAUUGAAUUAAAAUCCCUUAUAGACUAUUUGCAGAAAAGAUGCACUUAUGACUUGUGGGUUUAAUGACUGGAAAAAAGUGAAAAAGAAAAAAGAAAAAAAGAGGGUUUUUUUUGGUAAUCAUAGACUAAGAUAUAAUUUUGUAAUCAAACAUAUA